GAUUAUUCAUGUGACAUAGCUCUGCCACGUAUCAAAAAGAGAUGGACCCUUGAAUCUUCUGGUUCAUUGCCUGCAAGGAAAAGUGCUUUAGAAGAUGACUUUGAGGAGGAGGAAGAAAAGGAGGAGGUUGAGCCAAUUAAUGAUUCUUUAGAAGAUGAUAUUCAUGAGAAGAAUUAUUAUCGAGGGAGAAGUCCUGUGCGGGAGAGAGACAGAGACAGAAGGCGUGAUAGUCACAGACACAGGGACCGAGAUUAUGAUAGAGACCGGGACUAUGACAGAGACUAUGAUAGAGAUCGGGGACGUGGAAGGGAAAGAGAUAGAGAUCGAGAAAGGGAUCGGGAUCGGGAUCGAGACAGG
rnacentral:misc_RNA from 1 species